rnacentral:pre_miRNA from 1 species
CUCACGUCUGAGUUGGACAGGGGAUCUUGACAGUUUAAUGUCACUUGCUGCCAGAUCUAUCUUUCCAGCUCACGCGUGAG